rnacentral:rRNA from 1 species
GAUGAACGCUGGCGGCGUGCCUAAUACACGCAAGUCGAGCGAACAGAUGAGGAGCUUGCUCCUCUGACGUUAGCGGCGGACGGGUGAGUAACACGUGGAUAACCUACCUAUAAGACUGGGAUAACUUCGGGAAACCGGAGCUAAUACCGGAUAAUAUAUUGAACCGCAUGGUUCAAUAGUGAAAGACGGUUUUGCUGUCACUUAUAGAUGGAUCCGCGCCGCAUUAGCUAGUUAGUAAGGUAACGGCUUACCAAGGCGACGAUGCGUAGCCGAACUGAGAGGGUGAUCGUCCACACUGGAACUGCGACACGUUCCAGACUCCUACGGCAGGCCGCAGUACUGAAUCUUCCGCAAUAGGCGAAAACCUGACGGAGCAACGCCGCGUGAAUGAUGAAGAUCUUCGCAUCGUACCACUCUGUUAUGUGUGAGGAACAAGUGUCUAAGUAACUAUGCACGUCUUGCCGGUACCUAAUCAGAAUGCCACGGCUAACUCCUUG